AUGUAGCCAAGUGGAUCAAGGC
rnacentral:tRNA from 1 species